AGGCUGUGACUUGUGCAAGUUUUG
rnacentral:miRNA from 12 species